CCUACGUGUGGCAGCAGUGAGGAAUAUUGGUCAAUGGGCGCGAGCCUGAACCAGCCAAGUCGCGUGAGGGAAGACGGCCCUACGGGUUGUAAACCUCUUUUGCCGGGGAGCAACGGGCGCCACGUGUGGCGCCACUGAGAGUACCCGGAGAAAAAGCAUCGGCUAACUCCGUGCCAGCAGCCGCGGUAAGACGGAGGAUGCGAGCGUUAUCCGGAUUUAUUGGGUUUAAAGGGUGCGUAGGCGGAGCGUUAAGUCCGUGGGCAAAGUGCGGGGCUCAACCCCUUCCCGCCAUUGAAACUGGCGGUCUUGGGGGGGAGAGAAGGAUGCGGAAUGCGGGGUGGAGCGGUGAAGUGCAUAGAUAGCACGCAGAACCCCGAUUGGGAAGGCAGCAUGCCGGCUUCCGACUGACGCGGAAGCACGAAAGCGUGGGGAUCGAACAGGAUUAGAUACCCGAGUAGUC
rnacentral:rRNA from 1 species